CUCUUCUUCCUCCUCCUCCUCCUCCUCCUCCUCUUCGGCUGCUGAUCCUGGUGCCGCCACCGUCCGCCGGUGCCUGUUGCUGCCGCCGCCGCGGGACCCGCUGUGUCCUCAGCUGGGUGGAGAAGAGGCGGGCGCCGAGCCGAGGGGAGCCCCCUCCCCGUCCCCCCGCGGCGGGAAGAGCGCAGCCAGCCGGGUACGAUGGACUCCCCGCCCGCCCAGGCCGUCCCCAGGAUGCCCCCAAGCACCUGCGCGUCCCGGCCCGGCCCCGGGCUCUGAGCGCGCCGCGGCACAGGUUUCUGCAUAUGAAGUGUGUAAAAUAGAUUGCUUGAUCCAAAACAGAAAAACAGUGGUAACUGUUUUGCGGAGUUCCCAGACCCUUCCCAAGAUGGAACCAAUAACAUUCACAGCAAGGAAACAUCCGCUUCCUAACGAGGUCUCGGUGGACUUUGGCCUGCAGCUGGUGGGCUCCCUGCCUGUGCAUUCCCUGACCACCAUGCCCAUGCUGCCCUGGGUUGUGGCUGAGGUGCGAAGACUCAGCAGGCAGUCCACCAGAAAGGAACCUGUAACCAAGCAAGUCCGGCUUUGCGUUUCACCCUCUGGACUGAGAUGUGAACCUGAGCCAGGGAGAAGUCAACAGUGGGAUCCCCUGAUCUAUUCCAGCAUCUUUGAGUGCAAGCCUCAGCGUGUUCACAAACUGAUUCACAACAGUCAUGACCCAAGUUACUUUGCUUGUCUGAUUAAGGAAGACGCCGUCCACCGGCAGAGUAUCUGCUAUGUGUUCAAAGCCGAUGAUCAAACAAAAGUGCCUGAGAUCAUCAGCUCCAUCCGUCAGGCGGGGAAGAUCGCCCGGCAGGAGGAGCUGCACUGCCCGUCCGAGUUCGACGACACGUUUUCCAAGAAGUUCGAGGUGCUCUUCUGCGGCCGCGUGACGGUGGCGCACAAGAAGGCUCCGCCGGCCCUGAUCGACGAGUGCAUCGAGAAGUUCAAUCACGUCAGCGGCAGCCGGGGGUCCGAGAGCCCCCGCCCCAACCCGCCCCAUGCCGCGCCCACAGGGAGCCAGGAGCCUGGGCGCAGGCCCAUGCGCAAGUCCUUCUCCCAGCCCGGCCUGCGCUCGCUGGCCUUUAGGAAGGAGCUGCAGGAUGGGGGCCUCCGAAGCAGCGGCUUCUUCAGCUCCUUCGAGGAGAGCGACAUUGAGAACCACCUCAUUAGCGGACACAAUAUUGUGCAGCCCACAGAUAUCGAGGAAAAUCGAACUAUGCUCUUCACGAUUGGCCAGUCUGAAGUUUACCUCAUCAGUCCUGACACCAAAAAAAUAGCAUUGGAGAAAAAUUUUAAGGAGAUAUCCUUUUGCUCUCAGGGCAUCAGACACGUGGACCACUUUGGGUUUAUCUGUCGGGAGUCUUCCGGAGGUGGCGGCUUUCAUUUUGUCUGUUACGUGUUUCAGUGCACAAAUGAGGCUCUGGUUGAUGAAAUUAUGAUGACCCUGAAACAGGCCUUCACGGUGGCCGCAGUGCAGCAGACAGCUAAGGCGCCAGCCCAGCUGUGCGAGGGCUGCCCCCUGCAAAGCCUGCACAAGCUCUGUGAGAGGAUAGAGGGAAUGAAUUCUUCCAAAACAAAACUAGAACUGCAAAAGCACCUGACGACAUUAACCAAUCAGGAGCAGGCGACUAUUUUUGAAGAGGUUCAGAAAUUGAGACCGAGAAAUGAGCAGCGAGAGAAUGAAUUGAUUAUUUCUUUUCUGAGAUGUUUAUAUGAAGAGAAACAGAAAGAACACAUCCAUAUUGGGGAGAUGAAGCAGACAUCGCAGAUGGCAGCAGAGAAUAUUGGAAGUGAAUUACCACCCAGUGCCACUCGAUUUAGGCUAGAUAUGCUGAAAAACAAAGCAAAGAGAUCUUUAACAGAGUCUUUAGAAAGUAUUUUGUCCCGGGGUAAUAAAGCCAGAGGCCUGCAGGAACACUCCACCAGUGUGGAUCUGGAUAGCUCCCUGUCUAGUACAUUAAGUAACACCAGCAAAGAGCCAUCUGUGUGUGAAAAGGAGGCCUUGCCCAUCUCUGAGAGCUCCUUUAAGCUCCUCGGCUCCUCGGAGGACCUGUCCAGUGACUCGGAGAGUCAUCUCCCAGAAGAGCCAGCUCCGCUGUCGCCCCAGCAGGCCUUUAGGAGGCGAGCAAACACCCUGAGUCACUUCCCCAUGGAAUGCCAGGAACCUCCACAACCUGCCCGGGGGUCCCCGGGGGUUUCGCAAAGGAAACUUAUGAGGUAUCACUCAGUGAGCACAGAGACGCCUCAUGAACGAAAUGUGGAUCCUUCACCUGUGGGUGAGUCUAAGCACCGCCCAGGUCAGUCUUCAGCUCCUGCUCCUCCACCUCGUCUUAACCCCUCCGCCUCCUCGCCAAACUUUUUUAAGUACCUAAAACAUAAUUCCAGUGGAGAACAAAGUGGGAAUGCCGUGCCAAAGAGCAUCUCCUACCGUAAUGCCCUGCGGAAAAAACUUCAUUCUUCUUCCUCUGUGCCAAAUUUUCUAAAAUUUCUGGCUCCUGUAGAUGAAAAUAACACCUCUGACUUUAUGAACACAAAAAGGGACUUUGAAUCCAAAGCAAACCAUCUUGGUGAUUCUGGUGGGACUCCUGUGAAGACCCGGAGGCAUUCCUGGAGGCAGCAGAUAUUCCUCCGAGUAGCCACCCCGCAGAAGGCGUGCGAUUCUUCCAGCAGAUAUGAAGAUUAUUCAGAGCUGGGAGAGCUUCCCCCACGAUCUCCUUUAGAACCAGUUUGUGAAGAUGGGCCCUUUGGCCCCCCACCAGAGGAAAAGAAAAGGACAUCUCGUGAGCUCCGAGAGCUGUGGCAAAAGGCUAUUCUUCAACAGAUACUGCUGCUUAGAAUGGAGAAGGAAAAUCAGAAGCUCCAAGCCUCUGAAAAUGAUUUGCUGAACAAGCGCCUGAAGCUCGAUUAUGAAGAAAUUACUCCCUGUCUUAAAGAAGUAACUACAGUGUGGGAAAAGAUGCUUAGCACUCCAGGAAGAUCAAAAAUUAAGUUUGACAUGGAAAAAAUGCACUCGGCUGUUGGGCAAGGUGUGCCACGUCAUCACCGAGGUGAAAUCUGGAAAUUUCUAGCUGAGCAAUUCCACCUUAAACACCAGUUUCCCAGCAAACAGCAGCCAAAGGAUGUGCCAUACAAAGAACUCUUAAAGCAGCUGACUUCCCAGCAGCAUGCGAUUCUUAUUGACCUUGGGCGAACCUUUCCUACACACCCAUACUUCUCUGCCCAGCUUGGAGCAGGACAGCUAUCGCUUUACAACAUUUUGAAGGCCUACUCACUUCUAGACCAGGAAGUGGGAUAUUGCCAAGGUCUCAGCUUUGUAGCAGGCAUUUUGCUUCUUCAUAUGAGUGAGGAAGAGGCGUUUAAAAUGCUCAAGUUUCUGAUGUUUGACAUGGGGCUGCGGAAACAGUAUCGGCCAGACAUGAUUAUUUUACAGAUCCAGAUGUACCAGCUCUCGAGGUUGCUUCAUGAUUACCACAGAGACCUCUACAAUCACCUGGAGGAGCACGAGAUCGGCCCCAGCCUCUACGCUGCCCCCUGGUUCCUCACCAUGUUUGCCUCACAGUUCCCGCUGGGAUUCGUAGCCAGAGUCUUUGAUAUGAUUUUUCUUCAGGGAACAGAGGUCAUAUUUAAAGUGGCUUUAAGUCUGUUGGGAAGCCAUAAGCCCUUGAUUCUGCAGCAUGAAAACCUAGAAACCAUAGUUGACUUUAUAAAAAGCACGCUACCCAACCUUGGCUUGGUACAGAUGGAAAAGACCAUCAAUCAGCUUCCAAUAAUGUAGCUCUAUUGCUUCAGUAACUUCAAAUAGUUUUAUCUUUUCGGCAAAACAUCGAAAGUAUGGAAAUAGUCAUUCCUACUUUGGCAAGCAGAAGAGAAAUUUUCUUCAGUACCACAAUUCUGGAACUUGACUGAAAACUGUGAAGAACCUAAGAGCCAGGAUGACAGGAAGGCUCUAGAUCCCUAGUAAUUACAACUCUAGUGGAAUUGCUCUGAGAUGGGCCAGCAAGAAAGAAGAUGAGAGCCAGUCCCCCUUGCAGAGGGGCCAGGUAUUUGAAAUGGACAUCGCUAAACAGUUACAAGCUUAUGAAGUUGAGUACCACGUCCUUCAAGAAGAACUUAUCGAUUCCUCUCCUCUCAGUGACAACCAAAGAAUGGAUAAAUUAGAGAAAACCAACAGCAGCUUACGCAAACAGAACCUUGACCUCCUUGAACAGUUGCAGGUGGCAAAUGGUAGGAUCCAAAGCCUUGAGGCCACCAUUGAGAAGCUCCUGAGCAGUGAGAGCAAGCUGAAGCAGGCCAUGCUUACCUUAGAACUGGAGCGGUCGGCCCUGCUGCAGACGGUGGAGGAGCUGCAGCGGCGGAGCGCAGAGCCCAGCGACCGGGAGCCUGAGUGCACGCAGCCCGAGCCCACGGGCGACUGACAGCUCUGCAGGAGAGAUUGCAACACCAUCCCACACUGUCCAGGCCUUAACUGAGAGGGACAGAAGACGCUGGAAGGAGAGAAGGAAGCGGGAAGUGUGCUUCUCAGGGAGGAAACCGGCUUGCCAGCAAGUAGAUUCUUACGAACUCCAACUUGCAAUUCAGGGGCCAUGUCCCAGUGUUUUUUUUUGUUGUUUUUAGAUACUAAAUCGUCCCUUCUCCAGUCCUGAUUACUGUACACAGUAGCUUUAGAUGGCGUGGACGUGAAUAAAUGCAACUUAUGUUUU